rnacentral:tRNA from 1 species
GGCCUCGUUGUUCAUUUGGCUAGAGCAUUGCUUAUACUACAGCCUUCCUCUUGGUGGCAUGGGUUCGAAUCCCACCGAAGCCA